CCUACGGGUGGCUGCAGUGGGGAAUAUUGGACAAUGGGGGGAUCCCUGAUCCAGCCAUGCCGCGUGUGUGAAGAAGGCCCUCGGGUUGUAAAGCACUUUCAGUGAGGAAGAACGCCUGGUGGUUAAUACCCAUCAGGAAAGACAUCACUCACAGAAGAAGCACCGGCUAACUCCGUGCCAGCAGCCGCGGUAAUACGGAGGGUGCGAGCGUUAAUCGGAAUUACUGGGCGUAAAGCGCGCGUAGGUGGCUUGAUAAGCCGGUUGUGAAAGCCCCGGGCUCAACCUGGGAACGGCAUCCGGAACUGUCAAGCUAGAGUGCAGGAGAGGAAGGUAGAAUUCCCGGUGUAGCGGUGAAAUGCGUAGAGAUCGGGAGGAAUACCAGUGGCGAAGGCGGCCUUCUGGACUGACACUGACACUGAGGUGCGAAAGCGUGGGUAGCAAACAGGAUUAGAUACCCUAGUAGUC
rnacentral:rRNA from 1 species